CCACAACUGCCGGUGUGUGUGAUGUCGAAACGUGGAAAGAUUGGGUAUGGGAGCAAUCAUUAUGAUCACCGAAAGAGCGAAGAAGUGAAACUAAAGCUGUCAAAAUAAUAGUGUUACUGUUGGCUUGUUACUUUUGAAAAAUCGAUGAAAUCGAAUUUUUCGAAAGUAUACGCGCAUGGCAACGAAUGAGGGAGCUGAAGUUUUGCUCCUUUUAAACUGACCAAGACACUCAUAAGCGCGUAGAAAAUGGCUGGGAUUGCAAAUUGGCAUCUGUUUUUUUAUUAUUUUUGUCUGUAUUUUGUACAUCGCUAUGAAACACGAUAAGUGUCCGAAAUUUGCAGCUAUCGAUUUCAAUAUUGGCACAAAUAUAGGGUUUGGAUCCCACGGAUCUAUCGAAAUUGGGUGGCUUUCGCGAAAUGUCAACGAGAGGCGUCCGUAUAAGAGCACGGGAAGACAGGCGUUUGUGGCAAACUCUCCAGCGCACAUUUUAUAUUCGACCAAUUGAAACAGUGAAUAUGAUUUAUCACCUCGAACAGAUUUGGAUGAAACAAAGAAAUAGCAUCGCGGCCUCGUCAUUUCGACAUGGAACAACGUCCGCCAUUAAAAAGAACAAUCCGAUUUCGUAGGUCUAUUUUGUAGGCGUGCUCUUCGCCUGAGUGGAGGCUUUUGUAUAGCAAUCCUUUUAAGGGCACAAAAAGCAUAAACCUUCAAAUCGCUUCGCAACACACUAAAUUAUAUGUAUAUUUUGGCCACAGUCUACCCUUAUCUUGUCGACGUCAAAUACACUAAGCAAGCCAUUUAUACCCUCUUUAUUGUAUGAGUAAUGUUUUCUGUUAAGUAAACAUUGCCACUACGGCCGUGUCUCUCAAUUUAUCGUUUUGUCGCCUUCUGGUAGAAGAAGAGAAUUUGCAUUUUUUUAAAGCCCUACUGUGUUGGUGUUACUACAAUUAA